rnacentral:tRNA from 1 species
GGGAAAGUGGCUCAGUGGUAGAGCGCUUGUCUUGCAUGCAUGAGGCCCUGGGUUCGAAACCUCAGCACCA